CAGUGUUCACAUCUCUGUGGUCUCAUGAUCUCCUAAAGCCUUUGUUUAACCCACCAUCUCUCACAGCUGCUAAAUAUUCAGCGUGUUUGUUAGCCUGUUUGACAGGAGUUAACUGAUGCUCGUAUGAAGGUCUGGAGCAUUCAGCUGAUCUACCAGAAGAACAUCAGAGAUGAAAGAAACUCAUACAAGUUUGGAUCAACCUUAGGAUGGCACUGAUGACGAAUGAGCAGAUUUACCAGCCGUCCUGAUUUGAUGUCUGAAGCGAGCCUGGCGAGGACACAUCAGAAAACUCUCGUACUUCCUGUAGCAGCUUCAGAACCGAACCACAACUCUCACAACCAGACGCAUCUGCAUCGCCCCGCGUCUGGACGCCCGAGGAUUGUAACUUUACCUGAUCUGACGUGGCUUCAGUCCCGCUUUUAACAAUGCCUCGAUCGUUCCUGGUGAAAAGUAAGAGGGCGGGGCAUCACUCCACACGCUCCGCCCACUCUCAGCAUCAGCAUCAUGACGGAUGGACAUCCAGCAGGCGCUCUGCGGCUCUGGAGCUGCUGCCGUGCACAUCCACCGACGACAGCCGAACUCAUAACAGCACCGAAGCAGCUGGAGAUGAACCCCAACCCUGGCCUUCAUCCACUGCAGUGAAGCAGUCUGGAGUUUGUCCGUUGUCUAAGCUGUCGUGCUCUGUUGUGAUGGAGAGACAGAGCGAGCUGGAGUGUCUGAUUCAGGCUUUGCUCAGUCACCAUCAGCUGAGCAAUGUCCAGACGCCGCUGUGUGAAUGUCCACUCU